UACGGAGGGGGCUAGCGUUGUUCGGAAUUACUGGGCGUAAAGGGCUUGUAGGCGGCCAACUAAGUCAUACGUGAAAUCCCUCGGCUUAACCGGGGAACUGCGUCUGAUACUGGAUGGCUUGAGAUUGGGAGAGGGAUGCGGAAUUCCAGGUGUAGCGGUGAAAUGCGUAGAUAUCUGGAGGAACACCGGUGGCGAAGGCGGCAUCCUGGACCAACACUGACGCUGAGGAGCGAAAGCCAGGGGAGCAAACGGG
rnacentral:rRNA from 1 species